rnacentral:rRNA from 1 species
AUUGAACGCUGGCGGCAUGCUUUACACAUGCAAGUCGAACGGCAGCGCGGGCUUCGGCCUGGCGGCGAGUGGCGAACGGGUGAGUAAUACAUCGGAACGUGCCCAGUAGUGGGGGAUAGCUCGGCGAAAGCCGGAUUAAUACCGCAUACGACCUGAGGGUGAAAGCGGGGGAUCUUCGGACCUCGCGCUAUUGUAGCGGCCGAUGGCAGAUUAGCUAGUUGGUGGGGUAAAGGCCUACCAAGGUGACGAUCUGUAGCUGGUCUGAGAGGACGACCAGCCACACUGGGACUGAGACACGGCCCAGACUCCUACGGGAGGCAGCAGUGGGGAAUUUUGGACAAUGGGCGAAAGCCUGAUCCAGCAAUGCCGCGUGUGUGAUGAAGGCCUUCGGGUUGUAAAGCACUUUUGGCGGGAACGAAAAGGACUGUGCCAAUACCACGGUUCGAUGACGGUACCCGCAGAAUAAGCACCGGCUAACUACGUG